AGUGAACGCUGGCGGUAGGCCUAACACAUGCAAGUCGAACGGCAGCACAGUAAGAGCUUGCUCUUACGGGUGGCGAGUGGCGGACGGGUGAGGAAUACAUCGGAAUCUACUUUUUCGUGGGGGAUAACGUAGGGAAACUUACGCUAAUACCGCAUACGACCUACGGGUGAAAGCAGGGGAUCCUCGGACCUUGCGCGAUUGAAUGAGCCGAUGUCGGAUUAGCUAGUUGGCGGGGUAAAGGCCCACCAAGGCGACGAUCCGUAGCUGGUCUGAGAGGAUGAUCAGCCACACUGGAACUGAGACACGGUCCAGACUCCUACGGGAGGCAGCAGUGGGGAAUAUUGGACAAUGGGCGCAAGCCUGAUCCAGCCAUACCGCGUGGGUGAAGAAGGACUUCGGGUUGUAAAGCCCUUUUGUUGGGAAAGAAAAGCAGCAGGUUAAUACCCCGCUGUUCUGACGGUACCCAAAGAAUAAGCACCGGCUAACUUCGUG
rnacentral:rRNA from 1 species